ACCCACAGAAUAGCACAGUUGGUAAGGACGUGGUGCUGACAACGCCAAGGCUGCAGGUUCAAUCCCCAUAAGGGAUGGGUG